rnacentral:lncRNA from 1 species
AGCGAAUAAUAUUUAGAGACUACCCACCAAUUUUGGUGAUUUUUGAACAUAUCAAUAAAUUAUUAAAAUUCAUAGAAGUUUUAUUCAUUAAAUAAUGGAGGCAAUUUUUAUACACAUGCAAACUACCAGAAAAAUAAAACUUAACAUUUUUCUGUGUUCUACUUAUUCUAUGGAAUCUAUACAAAAAUUUUUAUAAUUUUUGAAUCAGUACACAAUUUUCUACACAAUUUCACAUAUCAAGCAUUUUUGAACAAAAAGAAAAAAAAGAAAGCACACUGUGCUACACAGCCGGCCCGUUUGGUCACGGCCC